rnacentral:rRNA from 1 species
UGGGGAAUAUUGGGCAAUGGGGGCAACCCUGACCCAGCGACGCCGCGUGGGGGAAGACGGCCUUCGGGUUGUAAACCUCUUUUGUACGGGAAGAAGGAAGUGACGGUACUGUACGAAUAAGUCCCGGCUAACUACGUGCCAGCAGUCGCGGUAAUACGUAGGGGACGAGCGUUGUCCGGGAUUACUGGGCGUAAAGGGCGCGCAGGCUGUGCUGCAAGUCAGCUGUUAAAUGUCUGGGCUUAACCCGGGCAUGCGGUUGAGACUGCGGUGAUGGAGUGCUGUAGAGGCAAGUGGAAUUCCCAGUGUAGCGGUGAAAUGCGUAGAUAUUGGGAAGAACACCGGUGGCGAAGGCGACUUGCUGGGCAGCAACUGACGCUGAGGCGCGAAAGCCAGGGGAGCAAACGG